AUUGAACGCUGGCGGCAUGCCUUACACAUGCAAGUCGAACGGCAGCGGACCUUCGGGUGCCGGCGAGUGGCGAACGGGUGAGUAAUAUAUCGGAACGUACCUUUCAGUGGGGGAUAACGUAGCGAAAGUUACGCUAAUACCGCAUAUUCUGUGAGCAGGAAAGCAGGGGAUCGCAAGACCUUGCGCUGAUUGAGCGGCCGAUAUCAGAUUAGCUAGUUGGUGAGGUAAAGGCUCACCAAGGCGACGAUCUGUAGCGGGACUGAGAGGAUGAUCAGCCACACUGGGACUGAGACACGGCCCAGACUCCUACGGGAGGCAGCAGUGGGGAAUAUUGGACAAUGGGCGCAAGCCUGAUCCAGCAAUGCCGCGUGUGUGAAGAAGGCCUGCGGGUUGUAAAGCACUUUCAGUAGGGAAGAACGGGCGAGGGUUAAGUACCCCUAGCCACUGACGUUACCACAGAAGAAGCACCGGCUAACUCCGU
rnacentral:rRNA from 1 species